CAAUAGCGUAUAUUAAAGUUGUUGCGGUUAAAAGCUCGUAGUUGGAUUUCUGGUUAGGUGCUAAUGUCCGCCAUUGUGCGUGUGCAGCGGCGCCCUUCCAUCCUUCUGUUAACGCCUCUUGGCAUUCAUUUGCUGGUGGCGGGCUCAGAUAUUUUACCUUGAGAAAAUUAGAGUGUUUCAGGCAGGCUAGGCCCGGAAUAUAUUAGCAUGGAAUAAUGGAAUAGGACUAUGGUCUCUUUGUUGGUUUGAGGGACUGCAGUAAUGAUUAAUAGGGAUAGUUGGGGGCAUUAGUAUUUAAUUGUCAGAGGUGGAAUUCUCAGAUUUGUUAAAGACUAACUUAUGCGAAAGCAUUUGCCAAGGAUGUUUUCAUUAAUCAAGAACGAAAGUUAGGGGAUCAAAGAUGAUUAGAUACCAU
rnacentral:rRNA from 1 species